rnacentral:rRNA from 1 species
CCCUUAGAUGUUCUGGGCCGCACGCGCGCUACAAUGAUGAAUUCAACGAGUUUAUAACCUUGGUUGAAAAGCCUGGGUAAUCUUUUGAACUUUCGUCGUGAUGGGACUAGACCCUUGCAAUUAUUGGUCUCCAACGAGGAAUUCCUAGUAAACGCAAGUCAUCAGCUUGCAUUGAUUACGUCCCUGCCCUUUGUACACACCGCCCGUCGCACCUACCGAUUGAAUGGUCCGGUGAAAUCUUCGGAUUGAGACUUUGAUUUCUUCACGGAAAACGCUGUUUUAAGAAGUUGAUUAAACCUUACCAUUUAGAGGAAGGUGAAGUCGUAACA